UAAUUGAUGAUGAUCAGUUGGCAGAGCAUUGGACUAGUAUCCCAAAGGGCGCGGGUUCGAUUCCCACCGUGGUUAG